rnacentral:rRNA from 1 species
GAUGAACGCUGGCGGCGUGCCUAAUACAUGCAAGUCGAGCGAACGGACGAGAAGCUUGCUUCUCUGAUGUUAGCGGCGGACGGGUGAGUAACACGUGGAUAACCUACCUAUAAGACUGGGAUAACUUCGGGAAACCGUAGCUAAUACCGGAUAAUAUGUUGAACCGCAUGGUUCAAAAGUGAAAGACGGUCUUGCUGUCACUUAUAGAUGGAUCCGCGCUGCAUUAGCUAGUUGGUAAGGUAACGGCUUACCAAGGCAACGAAGCAUAGCCGACCUGAGAGGGUGAUCGGCCACACUGGAACUGAGACACGGUCCAGACUCCUACGGGAGGCAGCAGUAGGGAAUCUUCCGCAAUGGGCGAAAGCCUGACGGAGCAACGCCGCGUGAGUGAUGAAGGUCUUCGGAUCGUAAAACUCUGUUAUUAGGGAAGAACAUAUGUGUAAGUAACUGUGCACAUCUUGACGGUACCUAAUCAGAAAGCCACGGCUAACUACGUG